rnacentral:rRNA from 1 species
UACGAAGGGUGCAAGCGUUACUCGGAAUUACUGGGCGUAAAGGGUGCGUAGGUGGUCGUUUAAGUCCGUUGUGAAAUCCCUGGGCUCAACCUGGGAAUGGCAGUGGAUACUGGACGGCUAGAAUGCGGUAGAGGGUAGUGGAAUUCCCGGUGUAGCAGUGAAAUGCGUAGAGAUCGGGAGGAACACCAGUGGCGAAGGCGGCUACCUGGACGAAUACUGACGCUGAGACUCGAAAGCGUGGGGAGCAAACAGG